AUGCUAGCAAUGGACCAGCACAACCAUCAGGAGGAGUCGUGUGUCCCACCGGGGUUCAGGUUCCACCCCACUGAGGAGGAGCUGGUGGGGUACUACCUCGCCAGGAAGGUGGCUGCCCAAAAGAUCGACCUCGACAUCAUCCAGGAGGUUGAUCUCUACCGGAUCGAGCCAUGGGACCUCCAAGAGAGGUGCGGCGGCGGCAGGGGAGGACGGGGAGCGCGUCAGGUGGCGGCGGAGGACGAGCAGUCGUCGGAGUGGUACUUCUUUAGCUUCAAGGAUCGCAAGUACCCCAGCGGCACGCGCACCAACCGCGCCACGGCGGCCGGGUUCUGGAAGGCCACCGGCAGGGACAAGCCCGUGACAUCGUCGAGCAGCCGAGGGGUCAUCGGCAUGAGGAAGACGCUGGUGUUCUACAGGGGCCGUGCACCCAACGGUAGGAAGACUGACUGGAUCAUCCACGAGUAUCGCCUGCAGACCAGCGAGCACGCGCCCACCCAGGAGGAAGGCUGGGUGGUGUGCCGGGCGUUCCAGAAGCCAACCCCGAACCAGAGGCCGUCGUACAUCUUCCCGGCAUACGCCGCCGCUCCGGGCCUCGGGGGCUACUACGAGGCGCGGCCAUGGCUGCACGGCCAAGGCGGCGACCUCCAUUACCUGCAAAGCGCCACAUGCGCUGCCGGAGCCGGCGGCCUCGGCUUCCCCGGCCAGGGCAUCCAGUACUCUGACGACCUGCUGGAGUCCAAGCAGAGUCUCUUCGGCAACAUCCCGCAGCUCAUCGAGAGCCCGCCGACGACCACCGCCGUUGCCGGUGGCGGCGACGCGGGCUAUGAUGUCGUGCAGCAGGGACAGGCAGCGGCCGGCAUCGAUUGGAACUUCCUGGACAGCCUGCUAUCCACGUCGCAGCUGCACCUACAGCAGUGA
rnacentral:rRNA from 1 species